UACGUAGGUGGCAAGCGUUGUCCGGAAUCAUUGGGCGUAAAGAGCGCGUAGGCGGCUUGUCAGGUCUGAUGUGAAAACUCGGGGCUCAACUCCGAGCGUGCAUCGGAAACCGGCUUGCUAGAGUCCGGGAGAGGGAAGUGGAAUUCCUGGUGUAGCGGUGAAAUGCGUAGAUAUCAGGAGGAACACCGGUUGCGAAGGCGGCUUCCUGGAACGGUACUGACGCUGAGGCGCGAAAGCUAGGGGAGCGAAC
rnacentral:rRNA from 1 species